CAGGAAGCAGCAUUUUUUUUCGUGGUCUCUGCUUCAAUCCCUGCCUAAGGUUUCUACUUGGCUUCCUGCCCUGACUCUCCUCAGUGAUGGAGCGCAAGCUGAAGCUGGAAGGCUUGAAUCUCCUAGGAAGAGGGAACAAUCUCAACUGAGAAAUCGCCUCCAUCAGAUUGACCUGGACUUCUGGACACAGAACGUGAGUUGGUAAGGUGUUGAUUUCCCUGGAACUCCUGGUGCCCCUAGGAGUCAGCAGCCAAGCUAUGCUGGAAGGAUGGGUAAG